rnacentral:rRNA from 1 species
AGAUUGAACGCUGGCGGCAGGCCUAACACAUGCAAGUCGAGCGGCAGCACGGGUACUUGUACCUGGUGGCGAGCGGCGGACGGGUGAGUAAUGCCUAGGAAUCUGCCUGGUAGUGGGGGAUAACGCUCGGAAACGGACGCUAAUACCGCAUACGUCCUACGGGAGAAAGCAGGGGACCUUCGGGCCUUGCGCUAUCAGAUGAGCCUAGGUCGGAUUAGCUAGUUGGUGAGGUAAUGGCUCACCAAGGCGACGAUCCGUAACUGGUCUGAGAGGAUGAUCAGUCACACUGGAACUGAGACACGGUCCAGACUCCUACGGGAGGCAGCAGUGGGGAAUAUUGGACAAAUGGGCGAAAGCCUGAUCCAGCCAUGCCGCGUGUGUGAAGAAAGGUCUUCGGAUUAGUAAAAGCAACUUUAAGUUGGGAGGAA